rnacentral:rRNA from 1 species
UACGUAGGGGGCUAGCGUUGUCCGGAAUCAUUGGGCGUAAAGCGCGUGUAGGCGGUUCAGUAAGUCUGCUGUGAAAGUCCAGGCUCAACCCUGGGAUGCCGGUGGAUACUGCUGGGCUAGAGUACGGAAGAGGCGAGUGGAAUUCCCGGUGUAGCGGUGAAAUGCGCAGAUAUCGGGAGGAACACCAAUUGCGAAGGCAGCUCGCUGGGACGUCACUGACGCUGAGACGCGAAAGCGUGGGGAGCAAACAGG